CAUAUUGAAACACUAGUUCCUAUAUGAUCAUCAAAGUUAAGCAACAGUGAGCCUGGUCAGUACCUAGAUGGGUAACCACUUGGGAAUACCAGGUAAUGUAA